rnacentral:rRNA from 1 species
UACGAAGGGUGCAAGCGUUACUCGGAAUUACUGGGCGUAAAGCGUGCGUAGGUGGUUUGUUAAGUCUGUUGUGAAAGCCCCGGGCUCAACCUGGGAAUGGCAAUGGAUACUGGCGAAGCUAGAGUGCGGUAGAGGGUAGUGGAAUUCCCGGUGUAGCGGUGAAAUGCGUAGAGAUCGGGAGGAACACCAGGUGGCGAAGGCGGCUACCUGGACCAGCACUGACAC